rnacentral:rRNA from 1 species
AUUCCCCCUAGNUAGCUGGCGAAUGAAGCGGGAAAAAGCUCAAGUUUGAAAUCUGAUGGGCUCGUCCCCUCAGAGUUGUAAGCUGAAGAGGCAUAGACCGACGUUGUCUGGGCCCAAUUUCCUUGGAACAGGAAGUCAUGGAGGGUGAGAACCCCGUCCGUGGCUCUGAGCCUUCGUCCUUGUGUCGUGCCCUCGAAGAGUCGGGUUGUUUGGGAAUGCAGCUCAAAAUGGGUGGUAAAUUCCAUCUAAGGCUAAAUAUUGGCGAGAGACCGAUAGCAAACAAGUAGAGUGAUCGAAAGAUGAAAAGUACUUUGAAAAGAGAGUGAAACAGUACGUGAAAUUGUUGAAAGGGAAGCGUUUGGCAUCAGCCCAUGAUGUUCAUCGAUCAUUCAGGCUUCUGUCUGAUGCACUUGAUGGAUGUCGGGCCAGCGUCGGCUUUGCCCGCCGGAGAAAGGUCUUGGGGACGUGGCUCCCUUCGGGGAGCGUUAUAACCCUUGGCGUCAUGCGGCGUGGCGGGGCCGAGGUCCGCGGUUUAUCCUAGGACGCUGGCGUAAUGGUUCCAAGCGACCCGUCUUGAAACACGGACCAAGGAGUCUAACAUCUAUGCGAGUGUUUGGGUGUCAAGCCCGUUCGCGCAAUGAAAGUGAAUGCAGGCGGGAGCCUUUAGAGGGUGCACCGCCCACCGGUCCAGGGGUUUACCGAA